UGGGAAUUGUCCUUAUUGUAGGGAAAGGUAUAGAAGUUAAAUGCUUUCAACUUUUGGGGUAUUAGGAUGAUGUUUCUGAUUCAUCAUUCUGAUUAAACAAUGUUUCUGCUGUUCAAAAUGAGCUUACUUUGGUUCAACGAAAUGUGAUUUUGGUAUUGGACUUUUGGGGUUUAUCCAUGAUCCAGAGACAGCCUUAGUAAUUAAUUGCUGGAAUUGAUCUCUUGAGUUGUUCAAACUAUUUGAGAGGUAUACCAUAG
rnacentral:lncRNA from 1 species